rnacentral:tRNA from 1 species
GAUUUUAUAGUUUAAAGUAAUAGAAUUUCAAUUUGCAAGGUUGAAGGAACUUAAAUAGGUUAAAAUCU